CGUGCCAGCAGCCGCGGUAAUACGAAGGGACCUAGCGUAGUUCGGAAUUACUGGGCUUAAAGAGUUCGUAGGUGGUUGAAAAAGUUGGUGGUGAAAUCCCAGAGCUUAACUCUGGAACUGCCAUCAAAACUUUUCAGCUAGAGUAUGAUAGAGGAAAGCAGAAUUUCUAGUGUAGAGGUGAAAUUCGUAGAUAUUAGAAAGAAUACCAAUUGCGAAGGCAGCUUUCUGGAUCAUUACUGACACUGAGGAACGAAAGCAUGGGUAGCGAAGAGGAUUAGAUACCCUCGUAGUCCAUGCCGUAAACGAUGUGUGUUAGACGUUGGAAAUUUAUUUUCAGUGUCGCAGCGAAAGCGAUAAACACACCGCCUGGGGAGUACGACCGCAAGGUUAAAACUCAAAUGAAUUGACGGGGACCCGCACAAGUAGUGGAGCAUGUGGUUUAAUUCGAAGAUACGCGCAGAACCUUACCAACACUUGACAUGUUCGUCGCGACUCUAAGAGAUUAGAGUUUUCGGUUCGGCCGGACGAAACACAGGUGCUGCAUGGCUGUCGUCAGCUCGUGUCGUGAGAUGUUGGGUUAAGUCCCGCAACGAGCGCAACCCUCACUUUUAGUUGCCAUCAUUAAGUUGGGCACUCUGAAAGAACUGCCAGUGAUAAGCUGGAGGAAGGUGGGGAUGACGUCAAGUCCUCAUGGCCCUUACGUGUUGGGCUACACACGUGCUACAAUGGUAUCUACAACAGGAAGCAAGACGGCGACGUUAAGCAAAUCCUUAAAAGAUACCUCAGUUCGGAUUGCACUCUGCAACUCGAGUGCAUGAAGCUGGAAUUACUAGUAAUCGUGGAUCAGCGUGCCACGGUGAAUGCGUUCCCGGGUCUUGUACACACCGCCCGUCACACCAUGGGAGUUGGUUCUACCUUAAGGCAAGGUUUAAAACCCUUGACCACGGUAUAGUCAGCGACUGGGGUGAAGUCGUAACAAGGUAGCCGUAGGGGAACCUGCGGCUG
rnacentral:rRNA from 1 species